UUGGAAACAGCCUCUCUGCCCUUUCGGGUAGGGGUAAGGCCUGUCUACAUAUUACCAUCCCCGGACCCCACUUCGUGGGACUAUACUGGGUAGUAGUUGUUGUUUUUAGGCCAAUUCGACAGAAAAUAUUAAAUUUUGAUGGCAGCAGAAAGCAUAGCAGUGUUUGGAGAGCGGUGACCAAAGAAAAAGAAAGUAGAAAGAAAGAU
rnacentral:lncRNA from 1 species